rnacentral:rRNA from 1 species
GGAGUUUGGUCCGUGUCUCAGUACCAAUGUGGGGGACCUUCCUCUCAGAACCCCUACUGAUCGAUGGCUCGGUGGGCCGUUACCCCGCCGACUACCUAAUCAGACGCAUCCCCAUCCCCUAGCGAUAAAUCUUUGCUUCAUUUCAGAUGUCCUCUACGAAGAACAUAGGGUAUUAAUCCGACUUUCGCCGGGCU